rnacentral:rRNA from 1 species
GACGAACGCUGGCGGCGUGCUUAACACAUGCAAGUCGAACGGAACUCUCUGGAUCAAGACUUCGGUCAAGUGAAUUUGAGUUUAGUGGCGGACGGGUGAGUAACGCGUGAGGAACCUGCCUUUCAGAGGGGGACAACAGUUGGAAACGACUGCUAAUACCGCAUAACGCAUAGAGAUCGCAUGGUCUUUAUGCCAAAGAUUUAUCGCUGAAAGAUGGCCUCGCGUCUGAUUGGCUAGUUGGUGAGGUAACGGCCCACCAAGGCGACGAUCAGUAGCCGGACUGAGAGGUUGACCGGCCACAUUGGGACUGAGAUACGGCCCAGACUCCUACGGGAGGCAGCAGUGGGGAAUAUUGGGCAAUGGGCGCAAGCCUGACCCAGCAACGCCGCGUGAAGGAAGAAGGCUUUCGGGUUGUAAACUUCUUUGUCAGGGAGAGUAGAAGACUGUACCUGACGAAUAAGCCACGGCUAACUACGUG